rnacentral:lncRNA from 1 species
GCUUCUGCUGGCUUAUACAAGAUAAGUCCAAGAAAGAAGCCAGCCCAGGAAAAGCCAUCUCAGUGGGACACCUCAAGAGGACCCGUGGCGAGAAUCUUCCCACCAUGGGGACAGAGACUCAAAUCAGCUACUGUAGAACCAGCCACUUUCCCCCCAAUCUCAGGGGUUGCUCUGCUAGGGAAGGCAAGUAAAUGCUCACUGCCUUCAGGGCCCAAAGAGUUCAAGUCCGUCUGCACUGGGAAGAAAUCCAUAGCAAAGAAGACAAGGGAGCCACAGGCAGGGCCCAAAGAAGAUAACUCACCGAGAGAUCCUGGUCUGCAGGCCCAAGUUCCACUACACAGGGCAGAGCAGCCUUCCGUGUGCAUGCAUCGUGGAGAAAUGAGCAGUGGAGACUCCAACACCAGAGCCCCUCAAGUUCCAGCAAACCCACAGUUCUUCUUGAUCCAGAGAUGUGCCAGACCCAGAGCACCACCUGCACCUGCUGGUGACCAGGAAUUACCUCUACGUCUGCCAUUCCCAGUUGGCGAUAGGCAGCAUCAAAUACAAGCCAUAGGGGGCUGCCAACAGUGUGAGAUGUUACAGAAGGAAAUAGAUGAACUCAAGGAACAACUCGGGCUGGCACUGCUGUGACCCAGCGUUUGAGGACUGCCUAUCCAUGCUGUUCUCCUGUAGAAAACCAAUCAUGCAAGUCUUCAAAGAAAAGUUCCAGGAUCCUUGAAGUUGGACUCAAGAGUUUCUCCCCACAGAAGAGGCCAAACUACCACCUGUGGAUCCUGCUUCCUUCCAGUUUUCUUCGACAGCAGUGGUUCCCACCUUCCUAAUGCUAUGGCCUGCUCAUGGGCUUCAUUUUGUGAUGUUAACCCUCUACCAUAAAGCUAUUUCAUUGUUACUUCACAGCUGUACUUUUGCAACUGUUGUUUAUCAUCGUGUACUGUCUGAUGUGUGAGCCUGUGGGAGUUGCUACCCACAGAUUGAGAGCGUCUGCUCUACAGUCAGUCAGAGCUGAGCUGUGCCCCUGUUUUUACCCCAAGCCUGCCCCUGGUGACAGCUGUUUCACAUUGAGUACUUUGGCUGUCCUGGAACUCACUCUGUAGACCAGGCUGGCCUCGACCUCAGAUAUCUGCCUACCUCUGCCUCUGCCUCUGCCUCUGCCUCUGCCUCCCGAGUGCUGGGAUUAAAGGCGUGCGCCA